UUUAUUUUUGUUGUGUCACAAUCAUCCUUGCUGCACACCUAGAGAGAGAGAGACAUGCGCUCACCGUGAUUUUGUCGAGCUUCACUUAUAUCCUUCACUUAUAUCAGAACUUCUAUACUGCUCCCACUCACUUACUUGGAAAUACAAGUUUCUCAUAAACUUUGUAUAAAUCCAAAAGCUUUGAUCAUCUCAUCAAAGCGUAUAUUCCAACUCCGAGAUGAUUGCACUAGUCCAUUGAAGGAUCGCUGGAACUUGCAUACUUGUUAGCAUCUUUAGGAUCGACAAAACCAUUUGGUUGUAUCACAUACAAUCUUUGCUCAAGGAAAGUAUCGAGGAAACAAUGUUUUGCCAUCCUAUCUGCAAUAUUUCAUAAAUAAUGCAAAAUCUGCCAACAUAAUUCCAACAGACUUUUACAAUCGCUACGAGUGAGAAAGUCUCAUCAUAGUCAACUCAUUGAACUUGUCGGAAACAUCUUUGCGACAAGUCGAGCUUUCUUAAUGGCGAAUUUUCACCAUCAUCGUCUGUCUUCCUUUUAAAGAUCCAUCUGUACUUAAUAGUCUUAUGGCCAUGAAGUAGUUCUUCCAAAGUCCACACUUUGUUUUCAUACAUGGAUCCUCUCUCGGAUUUCAAAAUCAAGUGAGUCCAAACGAUCCAUCUGCAUGGAGUUUCUUCAUGCUUUCAUACCAAUAGACAUGGUUCAAAUGUCUCAAAUGUUUCAAAAACGAGUGAGUUCAAAGAUCCAUCAGCAUGGAGCAUCUUCAUGCGUUUUACACCAACAUGACUCAAGCACCAGUGCCACAAGUAAGUGGUACUAUCAUUACUACUUUGUAUCUUAUGGCAACAAUAUUAUGAACAUGUGUAUCACUAUGAUCGAGAUUCAAUAAACCAUUGAAGGUAUUUAUUCAAGCAAAUAGAAUAACCAUUAUUCUCUUUAAAUGAAUAAUCGUAUUGCAAUAAACACGAUCUAAUCAUGUUCAUGCUCAACGCAAACAUCAAAUAUCAUUUAUUUAGGUUCAACACUAAUACCGAUAGUAGAGGGAGCGUGUGAUGUUUGAUCACAUCAACCUUGAAAUUUCUUCCAACACACAUCACCACCUCAGUUUUAGCUAGUCUUUGUUAGUUCCGUGGCUUUUACUUCGAGUUACUAACACUUAGCAACCGAAUCGGUAUCUAAUACCCCGGUGCUACUAGGAGUACUGGUAAAGUACACAUCAAUAUCAUGUAUAUCCAAUAUACUUUGGUCAACUUUGCCAGCCUUCUCAUCUACCAAGUAACUAGGGUAGUUCCGCUCCAAUGACCGUUCCCCUCAUAAUAGAAGCACUUAGUCUCGGGUUUGGGUUUAACCUUGGAUUUUCUUCACUGGAGUAGCAACUGGUUUGCUUUCAUGAAGUAUCCCUUCUUACCCUUGCCCUUCUCGAAGAUAGUGGUUUUACUAACCAUCAACACUUGAUGCUCCUACUUGAUUUCUACCUUCGCGGUGUCAAACAUCGCGAAUAACUUAAGGAUCAUCAUGUCUAUCCCUGAUAUGUUAUAGUUCAUCACGAAGCUCCAUUAGCUUGGUGGCAGUAACUUUGGAGAACCAUCAUUAUCUCAUGUGGAAGAUUAACUCCCACUAGAUUUAAGUGAUUGCAGCACGAAGGGGGUGGUGGGUACAUGCUCAACGAUUGAGCUUUUCUCCCUUACUUUGUAGACAAAGAAUCUUGUUGGAGGUCUCAUACCUCUCAACAAGGGCACGAGCCUGAAAUCCCAAUUUCAUCUCUUGGAACAUCUUGUAUGUCCCGUGAUGUUUGAAACAUAUUCAGUGCCUCAAUUCUAAGUCGUUUUAAGCAUUAUGCACUGAACUAUCAUGUAGUCAUAAAAAACGUGUAUGUGAGAUGUUCGCAACAUCCACACAUGACUCUUGGGGUUCAUCACACCGAGCGGUGCACUAAGGAGAUAAGCUUUUCUGCGCAGCAAUGAGGACAAUCCUGAGUUUACGGACCGAGUCCGCAUAAUUGCUACUAUCAUAUUUCAACUAAAUUUUCUCUAGGAACAUAUCAAAAACCAGUAGAGCUACAACGCAAGCUACAACAUAAUUUGCAAAGACCUUUUGAGUAUGUUCAUGAUAAUUGAGUUGAGAUAAUAAUAUUACUAAUAAACUCCCACUCAAAUUGAGAUCCCUCUAGUUAUUCAAGUGUCGCAUGAUCCAAAUUCACUAACUCAAAUCCGAUCAUCACGUGAGUUGAGUAUAGUUUGAAUGGUGAACAUCUCCAUGUUGAUCAUAUCAACUAUAUGAUUCAUGCUCGACCUUUCGGUCUCUUGUGUUCCGAGGCCAUGUAUGUACAUGCUAGGCUCGUCAAGUUUAACCCGAGUGUUCCACAUGUGCAACUGUUUUGCACCCGUUGUAUGUGAACUCGAGUCUAUCACACCCGAUCAUCACGUGGUGUCUCGAAACGACGAACUGUCGCAACAGUGCACAGUCGUGGAGAACACAAUUUUAUGUCGAAAUUUUAGUGAGGAAUCACCUUAUAAUGCUACCGUCGUCCUAAGCAAAAUAAGGUGCAUAAAAAGAUUAACAUCACAUGCAAAUCAUAAAUGACAUGAUAUGGCCAUGAACUUGUGCUUCUUGAUCUCCAUCAUCAAAGCACCGACAUGAUCUCCGUCAUCACCGGCGCCACACCAUGAUCUCCAUUAUCACUAUCUCCAUCAUCGUGCUGCCAUUGAGGUUGUUGCGCUAUCUAUGUUGUUACUACUAAAGCUACUGCCUAGCGAUAUAGCAAGAGCAUCUGCAAGCGCAAAAUAAAUUUAAGGACAACCCUAUGGUUCAUGCCGGUUACCGUAGCAUCGACGUGCAAGUCAAUAUUUAACUAUUACAACAUGAUCAUCUCAUACAUCCAAUAUAUCAUAUCAUGUCAUUGGCCAUAUCAUAUCACAACCAUACCUUGCAAAAACAAGUCAGAUGUCCUCUAAUUUGUUGUUGCAUGUUUUACGUGGCUGCUAUGGGUAUCUAGUAUGAUCGCAUCUUACUUACGCGAAGCCACAACGGUGAGAUGCAAAUUGCUAUUUAACCUUCUCCAAGGACCGCCUCGGUCAAAUCCGAUUCAACUAAAGUUGAAGAAACAGGCACCCGUCAGUGAUCUUUAGGCAACAAGUUGCAUGUUAGUCGAUGAAAACGGUCUCUCGAAAGCGUACGAGUAAAGUUGGUCCAGCCCGCUUCAAUCCAAUAAUGCCGCUGAAUCAAGAAAAGACUAAAGAGGGCAGCAAAUUGAACAUCAACGCCCACAAAAAAUUUUGUGUUCUACUCGAGAUAUUAUCUACGCAUGAACCUAGAUCAUGAUGCCACUGUUGGGAAACAUUGCAUGGGAAAUAAAAAAAUUCCUACGCACACGCAAUACCUAUCCAUGGUGAUGAUCAUCUACGAGAGGGGAGAGUGAAUCUACAUACCCUUGUAGAUCGCUAAGCGAAAGUGUACAUAACGCAUUUGAUGUAGUGGAACAUCUUCACGAUUCAAAUCGCAGCCUGUCCUGUGAUCUCAUCACGAUCUGUCCCGCGAUCCCGUCACGAUCCAUCCUGAUCUAGUGCUGAACGGACGGCACCUCCGCGUUCAGCACACGUACAACCCAAUGACGAUCUCCAUCUUCUUGUUCCAGCAAGAGGAGCAUAGAGGUAGAUGAGUUCUCCAGCACAGCGGCGUGGUGGUGGUGGUGGUGAACAAUCCAGAAGGGCUUCACCAAGCUUCUGCGGAACUAAUCUAGAGGAGUAAACGAUCUAGAGGGAGAGAGGGCUGCUCCUUUGCUUAAGGUCCAAAAAGCCUCUCUACCCUCAAGAAUAUAUAGGAGGGAGGGAGGGGAGGAAGCAGCCCAAACACCCUAAUAGGGUUCGGCCGAAGUGGAGAGGAGGUGGAGGAGUCCACCUCCAAUCCCACUUUUAGUAGGAUUCCACCUUUUCUUUUCCUUCCCCUUUUUCCCUUUUCUUUCCUUAUUUGCUCCUUGGCCGAAAUAAGCCCUAUUGGGCUGGCCACAACAGCCCACUAAGGGCGGGUGCACCACCUUUAGGCCUAUUAGGUUCUCUCCUGGUUGAGUGGCCCCUCCCGGUAAAAUCCCGGAACCCAUUCGUCACUCCCGGUACAUUACCGGUAAUGCUCGAAAACUUUUUGGAAGCCAAAUGCAACUUUCCUGUAUAUCAAUCCUUUCCUCUGGACCACUCCGGAGCUCCUCGUGACGUCCAGGAUCUCAUCCGGGACUCCGAACAACCUUCGGUCGCCAACACCUAUAACUCAACUAUACCGAAACGUCAUCGAACCUUAAGUGUGCAGACCUUGCGGGUUCGAGAACUAUGCAGACAUGACCGAGACACUCCCCGGUCAAUAUCCAAUAGUUGGACCUAGACGUCCACAUUGGAUCUUACAUAUUCUACGAAGAUCUUUAUCGAUUGAACCUCUAUGUCAAGGAUUUAGUUAAUCCCGUAUGCAGUUCCCUUUGUCCUUUGGUAUCUUACUUUCCCGAGAUUCGAUCGUCGGUAUCUCUAUACCUUGUUCAAUCUCGUUACAGGCAAGUCUCUUUACUCGUUUCGUAAUAUAAGAUCCCGUGACUAACUCCUUAGUCACAUUGCUUGCAAGGCUUGUUGCGAUGUUGUAUUACCGAGUGGGCCCCGAGACACCUCUCCCUCACAUGGAGUGACAGAUCCUAGUCUUGAUCCAUGCCAACCCAACAGACACUUUCGGAGAUACCUGUAGAGCACCUUUAUAGUCAACCAGUAACGUUGCCACGUUUGAUACACAGAAGGUAUUCCUCCGGGGUCCGGGAGUUGCAUGAUCUCAUGGUCAUAAGAACAAAUACAUUGAUAUGUAGAAAAUAGUAGCAAUAAUCUGACACGAUCAUAUGCUACAUUCACAGUUUGGUGCUUGUCCAUCACAUCAUUCUUCUAAUGAUGUGAUCACGUUAUCAAGUGACAACACUUGUCUAUGGCCAGGAAACAUUUACCAUUUUUGAUCAACGAGCUAGUUAAUUAGAGGCUCACUAGGGACAGUGUGUUGUCUAUAUAUACAUAGUUAGGAGCAUGGAUAACCAAUUUAGUAUUGCCUCUAUGAGUUUCCAAUCAAUACAAUUCUAGCAUGGACAAUAAACGAUUACCAUGAACAAGGAAAUAUAAUAAUAACCAAUUUAGUAUUGCCUCUAGGUCAUAUUUACAACAGUUAGGAGCACUUAAUUAUGGAAUAUAACACCGGUACACAAGUAACUAGGGCGGCAAAGAUGGAACAAAACACCAGGCUAGAAGGCCAAGCCUUCUACCUUUUACCAAGUAUAUAGGUGUUUUAAAUUAAUUAGCAUUAAUAUGGUCAUAUAACAAGGAAUCCAUGUUGUCAGAUGGAAAUCAUCUCCACCUGCAACUAGCAACGCUUCACAAUGCUGAGCAAGCGGUAACAUAGACAAAUAGUGGUUUGGUGGGUUGUGGAAAGGUUAGAGGCUUUUCAUGGCAAUGUUGGGAGGCUAACAUUUAAGUGGUCGGCAGGGAGACAUAGCGAAAUAAACGAGACAACUAGCAUGGCGAUGAUGAUAAUGGUAUCUAGGGAAAUGAUCAUCCUGCCUGUGAUCCCGCUUGGAAGACGAACGGAUCCGUGAAACAGACGAACCCACUUUGUCGAACGAAUCCUCACACGUCAAAGCGACCGGGAACUCUAUCGACAAGAAGCAAUCUGGAAACAAUAAUGAACAGACAAUAAACACCACAACAUAUGCAUGGCAUGAUGCGCAAGCAAAUAUGAUGCAUGUUCAAUUAAUUAUGCAAGGCAUGGCAAAGCACAACAAUCAACUCCUACACAUUAAACGAAGCUCAAUAUGCAACAAGUUGCAUAUUGACGAAACUCCAUGUUCAAAUUUUAGUUUACUCUCAUUUUGGUACACAACAAUGUUAAAUGUUUUUAAACAUGACAAGAGGUGAAGUAUAAAUAAACUACACUAUCUAGGAAUUUUGAAUCAGGCCGGAAUCAACAUAUAGCAUUUCCGGAAUGACCCCAUAUGUUAAUUUUGAAAUUGAUCCAGAUCUGUACUAAACACGUUGUAUAUUUAUUAAACUGCAAAAUAAAGUGGCCCAUAUGAUUCUACACGUCAUUCUAGUCGAUUUAUAUAUAUAGAACAUUUAAAACGAAGGUACGGUGUAAAAGAUAUGGCCAUCACAAGAUAACAUGCCAUGAAUGUAAAGUGGAUGCAAAUGACAGCACAAGCAUGUUAAUCAUGGAUGCAACAAGAUAUUAUGAAACUACCUAAAUUUCAACGCAAGUUUAAAUGAGGUCGGAACAACGAAUAAGAAUUUUGGAAAGUCCCAAUAUGCAAAUUAUGAUUUCACUACUGUUGUGCCUAUAACACAAUUUUAGAGUUGUUAAAGAGCAACUUAAAUGCUGUCAUGUUAUUCUAUACAUUUUUCGGUCAAGCCACAUAUGUGGACCAAUUUAAUCGGAGUUACAGAUAAUUAGUUGCGAAAUAAAUGAUUUUAACAUAGCAUCUUUGCAAAUUAAAUGCAAACAACAGGUUACACAUUUUUAGAAGGGUUGAAAGUUGGAUAUUGUGAAAUUACACAAAAUUCUGGACAUUUUACAUAUCUAUGGUUUUUACAUGCGAUGCACGGUUAAUUAAUUAUUACGAUUUUAAAAUCAUGCAACAUCCUGUAAUUAGGAAAAUCCCUGGAAAUUAGCUAAAAUUGCAUGCGUAAAUAAAUGAUUACAGGCCAAAACUGAUUGGACCAACGGGUUCACAGAGGACGCCACAUAUUAUACACUACUCAUGGGCGAGGGACAGGGGUGCAACUCACCUUCGGCCUUAUGAGGCUGGUCGGUGUGGGCGGGCCGGCUGAAGCGUGGGGUAGGCUCAUCAUGCGGUUGGAGGCCGAGGCGAGGCGCGGCCCAGGCACACUAGAAGCCUCGCGAAGGAGGCCCAAGUGGGCGGUCGAAGGCACGCUCGAGCCUCGAACUUGCGUCCUCGUCCUCCCCGCAGGGACGAACGGCGCCAACGACAGAGAAUGGGGCCGGGAUUGGGGGCUUGCUAGAUGUGGACGACGAGCUGAAGAAACCGUCGGAGGAAGCAGAUCGAGGCGUCCCCGUUCCGUGCCAAUGAGUGGAUAGAGAGAGAGGUGGGAGGAGAUAGAGGAAGAGCGGAGGGAGAAGGGCACGGGGGGCUGAGUCAUGACCUCGUCGGAGGGAGAAGGGCGCGGCGGCUGGACAAGCGAGGGCGACGACGGUGUCGCCUGCAGCAAGGUCACGACUGCAAACGGCGGGCACGUCGGUGAGGGGUCCUGCCGAAGUGCAGGGCGGCAGAGGCGCUCCGUGGUGGAACUUGAGGAUGCUCCAUGGCGACGGGAGCCACUGGCGUCGGGCGAGCUCCAUGGCACCAUGGACAACGUGCAGCACGAGAGAGAGAGAAAUGGGGAGAAAGAAGAAGGAGUAAAGUGCGCGAGCGAUGGCUUGAGUUGGUCGCCGGGCUGCGACCUGCUCGUGGAGAUCCUCUGACGGCUCGAUCGGAGCGAGGUCUUUUGUCGCCCGCAGGUGUAGUACCGACACAUCUAUGGCUGAUGGCCCGACGAGGCAAAGGGGCAGGAGGCCCUGCGUGUACAGCGCGAGGAGGAGCUCAGGCGAGCCGGAUUGGGCGCUGGUUGGCUUGAUGAAGAGAUCGAGGAGGUGCUGCGUGGAUAGGGAGGCAAAAUCGACAAAAUUGAUCCCUAAACGAAAUAAAUUCAUAAACUCGACUACGUUCAAAAUAAAUUCAUUCAGCUGAUCCUUUUGGUGUGGCGCCCGAUGAAAAAAUUCCAUUUUAAACCUUGAAUUUGUAAUGGUCGGGCGGAAUGAACCCCAAAAUCAAAUUCCUGGUCGAUCGUACCCUGAACUAUGUAAUCCUGGUCUAAAUUAAACCCUAGCAAAUUUCAACCACGAUUCAUCUUAUGGGCCGGUCCGCUUUAGUUUUUCUUCAUUUAAAAUUUGUUGGGCCGUGCUCCUCGACACCUGCAACGCAGACACAAACAUGAACUCCUCGUUCCAUAUCGGGUUGGGCGUCCCAGGCGGCACGCCCGGGCGCGUGCGGCGCACCUGCCCGGCGAGCUGCAGCUUGACGGAGGCCUUUCAAGUUCCUACCAGCCGACGGGCCAGAUCACGUUAUUAUUACCGGAAAACUCACGUACACUUACAUACAUAGAAAACUCACGUACAUGAACGCGUACGUACACAACCGCGCACAAACACAAGCAUGCACAUACAUGAGACAUACAACCUCUCCUCUGCUACACACACGUACUCCUGUAGGCAGGCAGCACCGUGCCGCGCGUACGUACUACUAGCUUUUUAUUCCCGCCCCACAUUUACACUCAUCACUCAUGCAUGCAAGCAGCUCCACAAAUUGCAUGCAUGCGCACACUCGAG
rnacentral:lncRNA from 1 species